rnacentral:lncRNA from 1 species
GCAAUUUUGGACUGUAUUGCCCUUAAUUUGGGCUGACCAGAUCGGGUUGGACGUGCGGGUUCGAUCAUACUUCUGGCACUAAUGUUAAAAUUUGUGCCAAAAGUGCCAACAUAAAGUAAAACAAAAAAAAUAAUAAGUAAUUUAGUACUUUUGACACUAAUGUUAUAAUUUGUGCUAAAAGUACCAAAUUACUUAGUUCAAAUCAGAAUAUUAGUGCCAAAAGUACCAACAGAAAAAAAAAAAAAAAAACGAGUAAUUUAGUACUUUUGGCACAAAUGACAAUAUUAGUGCCAAAAGUACUACUCCCUCCGUCCGCCAAAAGUGGACCAUUUUUACUAUAUCGGGCGUCUGCAAAGAGUAUACCACUUUCCUUUUAUAGAAAUGGUCCCACCAUCCACUUUAAUCUUUUAUCCUUACAAACAC